UAACAAUUAAUUUCAGUUGAUUGCAAUGGUCGAUAAUUCACCUUCUGCUGGACCCAGCCUGACUGAUUUGUUCAACGAAUGGGAAAUCGACAUCAGUAUCACUCAAAAUUUUAUUAAGAAUGGAAUUACUGUUAAUCUAUUGAAUAAAGUUGAGUGAAUAUGACCUGAGAGAAGUGUGCCCGCUUUUAGGAGCUAGAGUACGUCUUCGUGAAAAGAUCAACGGGUUUUCAAAACGCUAAAAACCCAGACCUGCUGCAGCAAAAAACGAGGAAAUUUUCAUCAGUUCUUUUGGACAAACCUGAUUUUCGGAAAAAAUUUCCUUUACAUUGCCAUGUAUCGAGUGUGAUGAGCUGCUUUUGGGUUUUACUUCAUAUAUUCUUCAUUUAAAAUCAGCACAUCAAAUCUCCACUACUUCGAAUGUCCGAUAGACGAAUGUUUGAAGGUUUAUCAUACAAAAUAUUGUCUUCAAUAUCAUUUGAUUCAUUGUCAUUCAACUGAUAUAAAAGACGAUCAUGUCGAAAAUUUUAAAAUGAGCUCUUAACAGAAUUUUUGUUCUGAAAAACUGACACAGAAGUACUGUAUUGUAAUCCAGAUGUUUCUUAUAUUUUUCAUAACAAUAAGACAACAAAUGAUUGCUUCCGAUUUAAGUCAAGAAACGUUGCCAAUUGACUUCGAAACAGUCUUUUUCGACAAAGUCGAAGAAUAUAUAUCAAACUUAUAUAAUAUUCUUAAUAUUCCAAGAUCAUUGAUUCAAACUUUAUUUACAUUAACACAAACACUGAUCGAUAGUCUUGCCACUGAAAUCAACGCAAUAUUAUAUAAACCUGAAAAUGACGAAAAAACUAAACAAUCCAAUAUUUUGUUGGCUCUUGCGGGUG